AUUGGAUCAUGGAUGCGCUAAUGGACGACACGGAUGACAAGGAAAGUGCCAUCGUACAUCCUCUGGGUGUCUUGAGGAGCUGGUCUUUGGAUAAUGCUGAGCAGGUCUUUCUUUCUGGUAAAGAUUAUCAUUACAGUGAAGUAAAAGAAUUUAACAGACAGAUUGACAAACAACUGACGAAAGAAGAGAGACGAUUCAAUAGAGGACUUCUAAAUGUAUCCAUAAUCCUGAAACAGACCGUAUCAUGAGCAGAUGCUGUGGUGGUCAUGGAGAAGUGGAGAGCAUGAGACUGAUUAAUGAAAGACCCCAGUGACAGAUGAGUGCCCACAUUGACCCUGUGGUCCAGCCUGAAAA
rnacentral:lncRNA from 1 species